UGUGUUCUCAAGGUGGAGGUCUUGUGUUUGAAUCCCUAUGCAGCAAGGGUAUUAUUUUUGCUCAAAUUUUGAGAUAGAGUUGUGUGUUAGGGGGAUUCUGAGUGGCGGAUGUGUAGUGGGAAUUAGGGGAGAAGAUUAAGGGAUUUUGGGGGUUAUUGAGAUUUUAUUUUAUUUUAUUUUUUUCCCAUAACCGAAUUUUAACUCUCUUUUCCAAAAAAAUUAUGCCGCCUUUUGUUCUCCCUCUCCUCUUGCCAAAAUUCUCUGCGUUUUUUCAUCUUUCUUUUCUUUUUCUUCUUCUUCAAUUUUCUCUAAUCCAUUUAUUUUCCUUCAUUUCCGCACGCGGUUAGUG
rnacentral:lncRNA from 1 species